CCUAUUCAAGGAAGUGGUAAAAUGGUACAGUUUAUGUUGUGUUCUCAAAGGGUUGAUAAUAUGACCUGGCUUCUUUCUUUUAAUUUUCUGAAAGAGU